AUGCUUUUUUCAAUAGUCUGCAUACUCAUUUAGGAAAAAUACAUGGAUGAUCAGCAUAAAUCCUGGUCAAGGAUGACACACAAUUUCAUGACACAUUCCAUACUUCU
rnacentral:snRNA from 1 species